GUUCUUAAUUCUCAAAUUGGACACGCCUUACUGCCCCUACUCAACUUUGGGGGUCAAUGCUCCAAACCAAUCCCGCCCGCGCCCUAAAACAGUCAUGUACCUCCACACCAACUAGGGUUUUCUGCUUAUGGUGAUUCAUGUCAGAAUUUGUGCUGUUUCAGUGACUAGUCAGCUUUUUUCGGUGUUUUUCGCCCAUUGUUAACUGGUGCAUCGAAAAUCACUAGGAAGUGUCAAUCCUGAAAAUACAUGGGGAUGACUACGAACAUCAAUGUGAUGAUCACAGAAGGUCUCCAACAUCACCGUAAUAUGUUUUCAAUACCUGUAAGUAGGCGGUGGAUACUGGAAAUCUUAUAUUUAGUUGGAUGAGGUUACGAUUGCUUCCAAAGUGCAGCCUCCACCUCAUGACCAUGCUUUGCCCUGAAAUUCCC